rnacentral:rRNA from 1 species
CUGAGGAAUAAGCAUCGGCUAACUCCGUGCCAGCAGCCGCGGUAAUACGGAGGAUGCAAGCGUUAUCCGGAAUGAUUGGGCGUAAAGCGUCCGCAGGUGGCAAUGUAAGUCUGCUGUUAAAGAGUGAGGCUCAACCUCAUAAGAGCAGUGGAAACUACAUAGCUAGAGUGCGUUCGGGGCAGAGGGAAUUCCUGGUGUAGCGGUGAAAUGCGUAGAGAUCAGGAAGAACACCGGUGGCGAAAGCGCUCUGCUAGGCCGCAACUGACACUGAGGGACGAAAGCUAGGGGAGCGAAUGGGAUU